AAGCUUUCCUUUUCCUUUUUUUUUCCUUUAUAAUUUAUUAUAAUCUAUGGUGAUAAUGUGAAUAUUGUUUUGUUUUGAUAAGACUAUAAUAUAUUCAGCAUUGUGAUAUUAUUAUUAUUUUAUUUGUGUGUGUGUGUGUGUGUGUGUGUGUGUGUGUGUGUGUGUGUGUGUGUGUGUGUGCUAAAAAAACAGUUACAGUCCUCAUGUGAAUGAGAACUGGAGAAAAUCAUAUGAAUUAUGAAUAAAAUGCAGUGGUUCUUCAUUAUCGUUAUAGAUAUUUUUCUUUGUCCAGUAGGUGUCACUACAAGACUGUUAUUAUAUUAUAUUACAGUUUUUUUACGAUUUUAGAAACAGGCUCAUUUUGUAAAGCACACACACACUCAGCGCACAGUACUGAAGUGUACAUUACUUCCCUCCACAUAUUCAUGCCCCAGGACUUUACUCCUCCAGAAUUUCUGUUAAAUGGCACUUUGAGUGGUUUCAUCUGUAUGUGAUGUGUAAGGAUUGGUCCCAGUGUUGAUGGACAUUAUUAAACACUGUGUGGUCAUUCAGAAUGUUUGUCUGAAUUUCUCUGAGACGUAUCACAUUAAUGGUCAUGUUUAUGAUAGCUCUCUCCUGUUCCUCUGUGAAUAUGGGGCCCCUUCCUCUACGUUCUCGACCCUCAGUCCUGUGUAAAUCAGUCAAAAUACAUGUUAAAUGUCACAGGACAGCACACAAGACAUCGUUUCAAACACGCAACACAGUGAAUGUUACCAAAUAGUACUGAUGGAGGUCAUAUUGUAGGCUAUAUUGUACUGUAGACAGUAGAAGAAGGAAUCUUGUGGAAAUGUCUGAAUGACUGUAGCAACAGUAUAUCUGCUGAAGCUGGGCUGAGCUCUCUCUCUCAGUGUCAGCCCACGGUUUACAACAUGGUCAACCAAGGCUGCUCAAAUCACAGCUGAUAAAUUUGUCCAUGUCCUCCUCCAGAUCUACCUCUUCCUCUCUCUACCCCUCAUCCUCCAUGGGCUCCCCCGCUCAUCCUCACUCUUCCUCUUCCUCUGACGUUGCCUUCUACUUUUGUUGAAGACAGGCCGCUGCUUUCUCUGUUAGAAGCAGUCAGACAUCCGUCAGCACAUCGGCAGCCGCACCACUACAAAGAGCUUGUGACUAUCAUAAUAGUAACCGACUCUCAAUCAAAACAUUUACACAGGAAAGUGAAACACAAACAUUUUGUGUUGGCAGGUCGGGGCAAAUCUCUGGCGCUCGGAAUGAAACGUGUUUGUGGUUCUGUUUCAUCCCGCGCUGGCAGAGAUACUGUAGAGACGCUGAGGACGGACAGGCCGCUCGGAGGAGGCUCGUGGUUUGAGGUGCACCCUACAUCAGUUUAUUAUGUGCUGACAGAUUUUCAGCUGGAGGGCUCGCUUUAUUAUCGUGUCACGACCCCCUGGCUUUCUGAUGUGAAACCAGGGUGUUAUAUAACGAUCAAACAAACAAAUAAAUACAUCAAUAAAUAGAUAAAUAAAUAAAUAAAUACUUAUUUCGUCCA
ensembl:lncRNA